rnacentral:rRNA from 1 species
UCGGGAAUUUUGGGCAAUGGGGGAAACCCUGACCCAGCAACGCCGCGUGAAGGAUGAAGUAUUUCGGUAUGUAAACUUCGAAAGAAUAGGAAGAAUAAAUGACGGUACUAUUUAUAAGGUCCGGCUAACUACGUGCCAGCAGCCGCGGUAAUACGAAGGGGGCUAGCGUUGUUCGGAAUUACUGGGCGUAAAGCGCAUGUAGGCGGGUCGUUAAGUCGGGGGUGAAAGCCCAGAGCUCAACUCUGGAACUGCCUUCGAUACUGGCGACCUGGACCCAAGGAGAGGCGAGUGGAAUUGCGAGUGUAGAGGUGAAAUUCGUAGAUAUUCGCAGGAACACCAGUGGCGAAGGCGACUCGCUGGACUUGUGGUGACGCUGAGAUGCGAAAGCGUGGGGAGCAAACAGGAUUAGAUACCCCAGUAGUCCCUGAGCGGGCUGGCAAGGCGCAU